rnacentral:rRNA from 1 species
GACGAACGCUGGCGGCGUGCCUAAUACAUGCAAGUUGAGCGCUGAAGGUUGGUACUUGUACCAACUGGAUGAGCAGCGAACGGGUGAGUAACGCGUGGGGAAUCUGCCUUUGAGCGGGGGACAACAUUUGGAAACGAAUGCUAAUACCGCAUAAAAACUUUAAACACAAGUUUUAAGUUUGAAAGAUGCAAUUGCAUCACUCAAAGAUGAUCUCGCGUUGUAUUAGCUAGUUGGUGAGGUAAAGGCUCACCAAGGCGAUGAUACAUAGCCGACCUGAGAGGGUGAUCGGCCACAUUGGGACUGAGACACGGCCCAAACUCCUACGGGAGGCAGCAGUAGGGAAUCUUCGGCAAUGGACGAAAGUCUGACCAAGCAACGCCGCGUGAGUGAAGAAGGUUUUCGGAUCGUAAAACUCUGUUGGUAGAGAAGAACGUUGGUGAGAGUGGAAAGCUCAUCAAGUGACGGUAACUACGCAGAAAGGGACGGCUAACUACGUG